UGAAAAAUAUAAAAAAUGUACCCGCUUGGGAUAAUUUUAAUUUUAAGGAAUGUAUAUUAACUUUACGUUAGCAAAUAAAUACUUUGUAACUCCGUUCUUCGGAGGGGAGUAUUGUGGUGACAACAACCUCGCGUAAGAUUGUAGCGUGAGUUGACAACACCGCAACUGGCCCUCCGAGGAGGGAUAAAAGGCGCUGCCUUUCGGCACCCGCCAUCUUAUGUAGUUUCAACUUACGAGCACACCACGUGUACGUUACGUUCCGUAAAAUAUACGAUUUGUUAGUGUUUGCUGCUGGUUUUCAUUUGAAUCUAUCGUGGCGGUAUAUUCCGAGCUACCCCUAGUUAGCUCACUCAUACAAACCUCCACAGAAUCACUUAAGUAACCAUUUUGUUUUGUUAUUGGAAAAAUAUGGUUAACAUUUUUACAACAUGACCAGUGUUGCCAGGUCAAGUACUACGAAAGCGGUAGAAUAGACAAAAAACAUAGAUUAGAUAGAUAGUUAUAGAAUAGAUUUAAAAACAAAACGGGAGAUAAUUGAAUGUUUGUAAAUUUGAGCGUUUCGAACUUAUUAAGUGGUCUUCAGCUAAGAGUGUGUUAGCGUAGCUCCGAGGCGUGCUUUAGGAAACGAAAAAAAAAAAAACAGGUAAUCCAAUCGCCAAUCGCAGUACAAUGUAACUGAUUUGUUGACAAAUAGUGUUAUAUAAUAGUUAUAUUUAAAGUGUUUAACGUAACGUUUAGCAGUAGGUUCUUAUGGCUUAGCGGUAGAGCAGCAGCUCUCAUGAAAAUGGGAGACCCACCGUAAAAACGGUAGACUUGGCAAGCCAGAAAAUAACUUCUUCGAUCAGCUGAGAGGCGCGAUAACAGCGCGCUCAUGAUCUGAGUAAACUAUAUUAACGCAGAACUGUCAUUACACGAGAGUGAACAGGCCCUGAUCAAGAUUCGGACGGUAACAAAUAUGUCAAGUGGAUUUUUCCUCUUCGUCUCUAUGAAAAAUAGUAAUUUUCGUUGUUAAAUAAACUUGUUUGGGACAGGGUCUGAGUCCUUAUUUCGAAACAUCAACAGUCGAUAUUGUUCGGGUUCUGUAAGACGGGUGGUUUUACAAGCAAACGCCAACACUGGGAAUGAACACGAAUUUGUUGUCAGAGGACUAGUUUAUUGCUAGCGCUUCAGGAACUGCCUGCUAAAACGAAGAUAUGACAAAAUGAAGGUAUCUUUCAGUCAAAAAAAAUACAGCAGAGUGAAAUAUAAUAUCAUGAAUCACAGAUAAUGCCACUGACAAUUCAGUAGUUCCUUCAAUAAAAAUAUAUCACAGAUUGA